GGAUGAGGCCUCUGGGCUGUAACCUCUUUUAUCAAGGAAGAAGAUCUGACGGUACUUGAUGAAUAAGCCACGGCUAAUUCCGUGCCAGCAGCCGCGGUAAUACGGGAGUGGCAAGCGUUAUCCGGAAUUAUUGGGCGUAAAGCGUCCGCAGGCGGCCCUUCAAGUCUGCUGUUAAAAAGUGGAGCUUAACUCCAUCAUGGCAGUGGAAACUGUUGGGCUUGAGUGUGGUAGGGGCAGAGGGAAUUCCCGGUGUAGCGGUGAAAUGCGUAGAUAUCGGGAAGAACACCAGUGGCGAAGGCGCUCUGCUGGGCCAUCACUGACGCUCAUGGACGAAAGCCAGGG
rnacentral:rRNA from 1 species